rnacentral:rRNA from 1 species
UACGGAGGGUGCGAGCGUUGUCCGGAAUCACUGGGCUUAAAGGGUGCGUAGGCUGCGCAGCAAGUUGGGUGUGAAAUCCCUCGGCUUAACCGAGGAACUGCGCCCAAAACUGCUGUGCUCGAGGGAGAUAGAGGUGAGCGGAACUUAGGGUGGAGCGGUGAAAUGCGUUGAUAUCCUAAGGAACACCGGUGGCGAAAGCGGCUCACUGGAUCUCUUCUGACGCUGAGGCACGAAAGCUAGGGUAGCGAACGGG